rnacentral:rRNA from 1 species
AGAGUUUGAUCCUGGCUCAGGACGAACGCUGGCGGUGCGCCUAAUGCAUGCAAGUCGAACGGUCCUUUAGAUUUCGGUUUAAAGGAUAGUGGCAGACGGCUGAGUAACACGUAAGUGACCUCCCCCGAAGAGAGGGAUAAGCUCGAGAAAUCGGGUCUAAUACCUCGUAAGCUCCCCUGGUUACGGCCAGAGGAGGAAAGGUCUAGCAAUAGAUUGCUUUGGGAGGGGCUUGCGGCCUAUCAGGCAGUUGGCGGGGUAAUAGCCCACCAAACCUAAGACGGGUAACCGGUGUGAGAGCAUGAACGGUCAGAGGGGGACUGCGACACGGCCCCCACUCCUACGGGAGGCAGCAGCAGGGAAUAUUGCGCAAUGGGCGAAAGCCUGACGCAGCGACACCGCGUGAGGGAAGAAGGCCUUCGGGUUGUAAACCUCUUUUCUCAGGGAAUAGAGAGGAAGGUACCUGGGGAAUAAGCCUCGGCUAGCUACGUGCCAGCAGCCGCGGUAAUACGUAGGAGGCGAGCGUUGUCCGGAAUUACUGGGCGUAAAGGGCGAGUAGGUGGUUCGUUAAGUCUUAUGUGAAAUCUCCCGGCCUAACUGGGAGGGGUCAUAGGAUACUGGCGGACUUGAGGGCAGCAGAGGAAAGUGGAAUUCCCGGAGUAGCGGUGAAAUGCGUAGAUACCGGGAGGAACACCAGAGGCGAAGGCGACUUUCUGGGCUGUCUCUGACACUGAGGCGCGAAAGCAUAGGUAGCAAACCGGAUUAGAUACCCGGGUAGUCCAUGCCCUAAACGUUGGAUACUAGGUAUGGGGGGUAUCGACCCCCUCCGUGCCGCAGCUAACGCAUUAAGUAUCCCGCCUGGGGAGUACGGCCGCAAGGCUAAGACUCAAAGGAAUUGACGGGGGCCCGCACAAGCAGCGGAGCGUGUGGUUUAAUUCGAUGGUAAGCGAAGAACCUUACCAGGGCUUGACAUGCUACUGAAACCUUGCGAAAGUAAGGCCUCCUUCGGGACGGUAGCACAGAUGUUGCAUGGCUGUCGUCAGCUCGUGCCGUGAGGUGUUGGGUUAAGUCCCACAACGAGCGCAACCCUUGUUGCUAGUUGAUUUCUCUAGCGAGACUGCCCCUAAGAAAGGGGGGGAAGGUGGGGAUGACGUCAAGUCAGCACGGCUCUUACGUCCUGGGCUACACACACGCUACAAUGGCCGGUACAGAGGGUUGCUAAGGAGCGAUCCGGAGCUAAUCCCACAAAGCCGGCCCCAGUUGGGAUUGCAGGCUGAAACCCGCCUGCAUGAACCCGGAGCUGCUAGUAACUGCAGGUCAGCAUACUGCGGUGAAUACGUUCCCGGGCCUUGUACACACCGCCCGUCAAGUCAUGGAAGUCGGCAACACCUGAAGUCGCUGGGCCAACCCGCAAGGGAGGUAGGCGCCGAGGGUGGGGUCGGUGACUGGGACUAAGUAACAAGGUA